CCCUUAGAUGUUCUGGGCCGCACGCGCGCUACACUGAUGAAUUCAACGAGUUUAAACCUUGGCAGAGAUGCCUGGGUAAUCUUGUAAAUGUUCAUCGUGAUGGGGAUAGAUUAUUGCAAUUAUUAAUCUUCAACGAGGAAUUCCUAGUAAACGCAAGUCAUCAGCUUGCAUUGAUUACGUCCCUGCCCUUUGUACACACCGCCCGUCGCACCUACCGAUUGAAUGGUGCGGUGAAAUCUCUGGACUACUCCAGUUACUUGCUUUCGGGCAAGAAACUGUUGUGGGAAGUUGAUUAAACCUUACCAUUUAGAGGAAGGUGAAGUCGUAACA
rnacentral:rRNA from 1 species